rnacentral:rRNA from 1 species
CCUACGUGUGGCAGCAGUGGGGAAUAUUGGGCAAUGGAGGCAACUCUGACCCAGCAACGCCGCGUGAGCGAUGAAGGUCUUCGGAUUGUAAAGCUCUUUAGACGGGGACGAAGAAAGUGACUGUACCCGCAGAAUAAGCCUCGGCUAACUACGUGCCAGCAGCCGCGGUAAUACGUAGGAGGCAAGCGUUAUCCGGAAGGACUGGGCGUAAAGGGUGCGUAGGUGGUUUGGCAAGUUGGUAGCGUAAUCCCGGGGCUCAACCUCGGUGCUACUACCAAAACUGUUGAACUUGAGUGCAGGAGGGGUGAAUGGAAUUGCCAGUGUAGCGGUGGAAUGCUUAGAUAUCAUGAAGAACUCCGAUCGCGAAGGCAAGUGUCCGGGGUGCAACUGACGCUGAGGCUCGAAAGUGCGGGUAUCAAACAGGAUUAGAUACCCCAGUAGUC